UACGUAGGGUGCAAGCGUUAAUCGGAAUUACUGGGCGUAAAGCGUGCGCAGGCGGCUUUGCAAGACAGAUGUGAAAUCCCCGGGCUUAACCUGGGAACUGCAUUUGUGACUGCAUGGCUGGAGUGCGGCAGAGGGGGAUGGAAUUCCGCGUGUAGCAGUGAAAUGCGUAGAUAUGCGGAGGAACACCGAUGGCGAAGGCAAUCCCCUGGGCCUGCACUGACGCUCAUGCACGAAAGCUAGGGGAGCGAACUGG
rnacentral:rRNA from 1 species